UUUCCGUAGGUGGACCUGCGGAAGGAUCAUUACCGAAUUGUCAAACGGGUUGUUGCUGGUCUUCAAACGUGGACAUGUGCACGCUCUGUUUACACAUCCACUCACACCUGUGCACCCUCCGUAGUUCUAUGGUCUGGGGGACCCUGUCUUCCUGGCGUGGUUCUACGUCUUUACACACACUCUGUAAUAAAGUCUUAUGGAAUGUAUGCCGCGUCUAACGCAAUACAAUACAACUUUCAGCAACGGAUCUCUUGGCUCUC
rnacentral:misc_RNA from 1 species